UACGUAGGGGGCAAGCGUUGUCCGGAUUUAUUGGGCGUAAAGAGCUCGUAGGUGGUUCGGUAAGUCGGAUGUGAAAUCUCCAGGCUCAACCUGGAGGGGUCAUUCGAUACUGCCGUGACUAGAGGUCGGUAGGGGAGUGUGGAAUUCCUGGUGUAGCGGUGAAAUGCGCAGAUAUCAGGAGGAACACCGGUGGCGAAGGCGGAUCUCUGGGCCAUUACUGACGCUGAGGAGCGAAAGCGUGGGGAUCAAACAGG
rnacentral:rRNA from 1 species